rnacentral:rRNA from 1 species
CCCAGUUUUAGUUUUACCUACGAAAGACUUCAUCAUAAACACAUCAUUAUGAUAUCAUCCGUCCAGUUCGACUUCGAGGUAGCGGAACCGACCCGUAGUUCGACGUUCUCCGAACAGGUCUAUCAGAGGACCGAUCGACGUUAAACUCUUCGACGAUGAAACUCCCUAGACGGCAGAGACCGUCUAGUUAAUGGUGGUUAAAUAGUGAUCUGUGACCCGACAGUCCGCCGUGCCCGAGCUCUUCUCAAACUCAGACAUGUUCACGUGUUGUUCCCUCCCAGUUUUAGUUUUGAUGACGGAAGAAAAGCGCAUAUAGCCAGUUAUAAUGAAGUAAUCAAUCGAUGGACUGUUUAACCCCCAAACCAGCAGACAUAUAUCAUCCGACUAUGUAUUACUCAAACGGGAAGAAAGGUCCAUUAAUCUAUAUAUGACUGAUGUUUACCUUGUGUUUCGAUGGCGGCGCGCUUCACUAGAUCUCGUCUAUAAUCAGCUACUUUGGCGUCUUGGGUGCCGGGACGGUAAUAGUGAAAACUUCCUGUAGUGUCCACUAAAGAGACUGCUAGUCCUCUAACCUGCGCCACCUAAACGUCACCAAAUAUUCCCUUAUAAACCGCUAUUCCACUAGCGGCACUUCUUCGACAGGUUGCGAAUAUACGUACUUUGACUUAAACUAGCUCUCUAACUUACGGAUUACGCCCGUUUCGUGUUUUUACAUCAUUCUAAAGACCCUAUAACACUACUGUGUGUUUCUUCAUCCCUUUCUAAGCUACCUUUUGUACAGUACCGUCUCUAGGUGGUUUCUAACGAAACGAAGCUUAUACAUGCAUUUCUCCCAGAACUAUUCAUAUAGUUACCACGUAUAGCACUCACCCCUUGCACGAUAUUUUAUUAGUUUCCCUAGACACUCCCAGACGUCAUGGAAGUGCUAUUAGUAUAAUAAGUGGACCUAGACUUUGGGCGGUUAUAUGACGAGCUGCUAUUGUACCUUGGCUUUUAAUGACUAAAACCGGAUAGUUCUACGAAACUACUUUUAGUUUCGGUCCUAUAAUGGUUUUGAUAUAAUCCUUGUUAUCCUAUAAACCGUGGUCUUUAAGCGCUUCCUCCACAUUAGCGUGCGUCGCGACUGAACAUAUCACAACCACAGUAAUAGGACCUUUAUGACUGGCCCGUCUUCCCCAUAGUUCUAUAACCCCUAAACCUCGCUAUCUAACCUCUCUAGUGUUGCUCUGUGUGAUACGCUCGUUUAUGCUCAUACGAUGCUCUAUCGAAAUCUCACGUCCCUUAAGUUAGGUUUCUACUCUGGUGGAUCACGUGCUCUAUAUUAACUGUCCGAUGUGUGUUACCUUUCAUAGGUCCCGACCAAACUCUUUUAUAAUAUGGAAAGAUGGCUCGGCCGAGUUGAUGGUCCGAGCGACAUGUCAGACCAGCUCUGCUUUGGUGGUGAAGGGCAAUUUCAGCCGGUCACGCCGCGCCGCUGCUUCUACCGCAGCUAGAUGCUGUACCACCUCGGCUACAGCAUAGACACGCACUCGCACCACGUCCGCGCCCUGGACGGGUGGUACCUGUAGUGGCCGCGCGACCUGGGCAUGCAUCUCCACUUCGACCCUUUAAAGUUCUCGCACUGCGCCGUGGAUCUCUUCUUGCGGUUGGGCCACACCGCUGUUUACAAGUGGAAGAGACGGCGGGUGGACGUCAGGUUGGUCGAACUCCAAUAGCACUCCGUGUUCCUGCAAGAAGCACGGCUGAAACAACCGGCGCAGCAGAAGCUGUACAGGCUGUAGGGGUCGACGUAGGGUGGACUGUCGGUCAACCGGGGCGUUACCAUGGUGGAAAGGUUACGGGUGCCGCUCUCCAAGGGGGUACCGUUAUCGGAGCCGCUCUAAUACGAGCGGCAAACCGAACCGUGCGUCGGGCUGCUCCGGAAGUACCUCCGCACCGUGAGCCCAUGCGUGAGGGAGAGGGCUCUCUCCGAGUACUUGUGCGCGAGGUUCCACAUGAUGAGGGGGUUCGAGUAGAUGGAGUUCCACAAGUAGUAGUGCCGCGUCCUGGAGUAGCCGCGACUCUUCCUGGCUGGCGACCGCCGCCGGUAGCGGUUCUAGAUCUAACCGUUGGUCUAUUCCUCCUGUGCCGGCCCCGUUGGCGUCCCCAGCCGCUUGGGCCGUACCUUGCUCCUCAAGUACAAGCACCAGUCGCUCGGUAAACUCCUGGGGGACCAACACUGCCACCUCCUCUUCCAACCGCGGCCCUCCCUGCUCGGGUAGCCGGCACAAUAGUAGGGGCACCGCAGGGGCAUGCACAGCGCGUUGCUGGACCAGUUCAGCCACGGCAGUUUUACCAAGUGGGAUACCGCGCAGUACUGCCACCUACGCCGUCGCCGCCUGUAGUGCUGCCCCUAGUUCGUGGCUCUCGUGAGGUUCUGCAAGCCUGCGCCGAGCAGACGGCACGGAAGUGCGUGCCGUCUUGACGGCAUGCCCGGUGUUAGCCGGCAAGCAAGUGACGAAAGAGUAGGUUGCCUGGAGACGAUGGGGUGGUUGAACGAACAAAGUGAUAUGAGACUUAGACGAGCGCGGUUUUUAACAUCGUCACUCCUACAUUCCAGUAGUGGCGUACCCAAUCUUUUCAUC